rnacentral:rRNA from 1 species
GUAGGGGGCAAGCGUUGUCCGGAUUUAUUGGGCGUAAAGAGCGUGUAGGCGGCCAGACAGGUCCGUUGUGAAAACUCGAGGCUCAACCUCGAGACGCCGAUGGAAACCGUCUGGCUAGAGUCCGGAAGAGGAGAGUGGAAUUCCUGGUGUAGCGGUGAAAUGCGCAGAUAUCAGGAAGAACACCAGUGGCGAAGGCGGCUAUCUGGACGGUUUCUGACGCUAAGACGCGAAAGCGUGGGGAGCAAACAGGAUUAGAUACCCUGGUAGUCCACGCCGUAAACGAUGGGUGCUAGACGUUGGCGAGCUUGCUCGUCAGUGUCGCAGCUAACGCGUUAAGCACCCCGCCUGGGGAGUACGGCCGCAAGGUUG